CCCGUGCCGGAGGUCCCGGCCGCCGCGCCGGCGCCGGAGACCAAGCCCGCCGAGGCGCCCGCCCCCGCGCCCGCCAAGAAGAAGAAGCCGUCGUCGCCGCCCAAGAGCAAGAAGAAGAAGAAGGGCGCGUCCGCGCCUGCCCCGGCCGCUGAGGCCCCCGUCUCCAAGAAGCACAAGGCCGCCGACGCGCCCGCGACCGACGCCGAGGCCCCCGGGCCCAGCGGCGACGCCGCCGCCGCCGACACCGCGAGCGCCGCUGGGAGGACCGCGGGCGCGAUCGCGUCGGCCGUCGCGGUGGCGCUGGGCGCGGCGGCGCUGCUCGCCUAGAUCACGCGCCCGCCGGAUGCUUUGCUCUAGCCUGUGACCCACAGGAUUUGAUGCUGCUGCUGGCCGUGCUACCCUUUUCCCGCUUUUUCCUCUUUUGUGUAUUUUGUGAAAGGGGCCUGGCAGUGCCUUUACCUGUGUGUAGUGUAGUGUAGUAGGGCUCACAUCGCAUGGAUUCACUUGUGCGGACGGGUGCAUUCUUUUGCUUUAGGUCAGAGAUGGUAUGGGAGAGGGAGUGGCCAGAGGGGGCUCGUUCAGAUUUAUUUAUAUUUAUAUAUCAUUGUUAUUGCUUCA